GAUGAACGCUAGCUACAGGCUUAACACAUGCAAGUCGAGGGGCAGCGGGAUUGAAGCUUGCUUCAAUUGCCGGCGACCGGCGCACGGGUGAGUAACGCGUAUCCAACCUUCCGUACACUCAGGGAUAGCCUUUCGAAAGAAAGAUUAAUACCUGAUGGUAUGAUGAGAUUGCAUGAUAGCAUCAUUAAAGAUUUAUCGGUGUACGAUGGGGAUGCGUUCCAUUAGGUAGUAGGCGGGGUAACGGCCCACCUAGCCAACGAUGGAUAGGGGUUCUGAGAGGAAGGUCCCCCACAUUGGAACUGAGACACGGUCCAAACUCCUACGGGAGGCAGCAGUGAGGAAUAUUGGUCAAUGGACGAGAGUCUGAACCAGCCAAGUAGCGUGAAGGAUGAAGGUCCUACGGAUUGUAAACUUCUUUAAGUAAGGGAAUAAACCCUCCACGUGUGGGAGCUUGUAU
rnacentral:rRNA from 1 species